CUGGUCCAAAGUAUUGGCGUUGUAAUUAAGCCCAAGUAAUAAAAUCCUAUGUCAUGUUGAAGCCCAAACACAGUCCACCUUCUUAGAUUUGAACGCUAGGGUUUUCUCUGUGUAUAAAGUGUUCUUCUAUUUCAGAUGGUAGUUUGAGGCGGUGAAGACAAAAAUGCAUUCCUGAGAUGAUUGUAAUGCAAUAAUUUUCAUCAAUUUGAUGACUACUAAUCUAAUAGAGGAUCACAAGUUUGUGUAGCACCCAACGAACUCGUGUGGAAACUCUUUGGCUCAAGGACAAUUUCUCAAUUACACAACUGCGGACUCAAAUUGAUGCUUUAAUGUUCUUUCUUGUGAUCUAGGUUUGAUAUUUUGAUAGCCAAUGCAUCAUGUUAUAUGGAUUGGUUCUGGAUUUAUUAUAAUGUUUUCAUUUCUGAGUGUAUUUACAUUGGUAGCAGAUGUGCUAUAUUGGAUUUUAAGAGUUUCCACAUUAUAUGUAAUGAUUAACUACAUCACAAAGAUUGUAAUUAUAUAUUUUCAUAUUUAUGGAUGAAGUACUAUUUUAUUGA